ensembl:lncRNA
AGUACCAAGGGGCCUGGGAGCAGUAGGUCUGAAUUCAUGUGCCUGAAGGUAGAGGCAGAGGCUGUGAGAUGUGCGGUGACAUGGAGUCCAAGAAAUCUGUCUUCAGCUCCAGAGGCCAAGAAGGUGAUGUGAGGCAAAUUCCUGAAGAUCUUGUACUGUGAGGAUCUACCAGUUACAAGAAGUGCAAAUGACUGCCCUGAUGGCUUGUUUCAUUGUAUAACUGACUAUUAUUUGGACUUUUCUGUGGCUUUGAAGCUUUGCAUCUCUGGACACAGGCUUUCAGAUCCUCCUAGUGAAGGUCCAGCAUUUCUUACACUAAUUCUCUUCCCUUCUCUUCCCUCACUGGGACCAUUUCAGGCUAAAAACUAUGGCUUGCGUGAGGCCAGAAGCUGCAGCACUAGAUAAUCUGUUGGCUUUCAGAGGAGUGAACCACCUCCUCCCCACAGCACCCCACUCACAAUCUCUAUAGAGAUUAGCAGUGCAGACAGAUGUGCCUUCUGCCAGCAGCUGUGCUGAUGAGAGAAAUCACUUCCCUGCAGACUUGUCACACCUCUCCUGCCAACACAGCUUCUCCCAUUGCUUGCUCCCUUACCCCUUUCAGCCACAAGCUGGAUCUGUUAACUAUUUGAAUAAUGACAUCUUUGCAAGCUUGGGCCAAUCAGAUUGGAAACAAGCUGGGGAACUCUUGCAGAAGCAGCUCUACUGUUGGGUUGCUCUGAUAUAUGUAAAUAGCUUGGACACUUUUUCUCCUCCAAGGGGAUUAUGUUCAAAUAGGAUAAAAGAUACAGUUCCUUGCUAAGAGCAUCGGGAGAAACUUGCUCUCCUGCUGAAUGCUUGUCCUGUUCCAUUGCUCUGUGUGU